rfam:Triticum aestivum genome assembly, contig: Triticum_aestivum_CS42_TGACv1_scaffold_320965_4BL
GCCGAGCUCAGUCACGAGAGCUUGUCACCCAUGUGGGGGCAUCAAGGUGGUGUGGAUGUUUGGUGCGGACUCUGGGCCUGGGCGGCCCUGUGUUGUGACCUUGUCGGCUUGCCCGUUCCAAGUUGGUAGUGGGCUGGGUGGCUGGGGCGAAAGUUUCGGCCUCUCAGGCCCUGAAGCGGCAGGCACCACGUUAGGCUGGUUUCACAGAGCAGCGUUUACUGCCCGCUUCCAACGGUGGAAGGAUGACAGGCCGCUGCACCAUGGGCCCACUCUGGCCUAGGGCCCCUCCAUAACAAACCACCAUUUUU